rnacentral:tRNA from 1 species
GGAUUAUAGCUCAGCUGGUUAGAGCACACGCCUGAUAAGCGUGAGGUCGGUGGUUCGAGUCCACUUGAUCC